AUUGGGGCGUGACUACCACCCUCUGUGUCUGAAGUGUCAACAGUGUCAGAGACAGUUGACCCCAGGACAACAUGCAGAGCAUGAUGAGAAGCCCUACUGCACUAACUGUUACAUGAAGACGUUCGGUCCCAGAGCAGGUAAGGGGAGAAUGAUGUCAUACGGUCACAGCUCAGCCUCCUCUUCCUCUUCCUCCUCCUAGGAACCAGUCUAACCAAAAAAACAACCAAAAUACAACCUAAUGAAAACUAACAGCCUAUCAACAAGGAUCUAUUUUCAACCAACCUGACAUUCAGCCAACAAGGCAAUGACUACACAACUAGGCCCAACAUUCAACCAACCAACCAAUGUUCGACCAACCAAGAAAUAACCAAUAGACAACCAACCUGACAUUUAUUGAACUACUAUCCAACCAACCUGACAUUUAAUUAACUACUAUCCAACCAACAGACAUCAGUCGUCUCACUCUGAAAGUCCCCCUCUUUCAAUCAAUCAUAAAACAACUACCUGGACCACAACUUUGUGCUCAAUGGAGACAACGGUUGUUCUUCAAUAAAACAAA